rnacentral:rRNA from 1 species
AGGAUGAACGCUGGCGGCGUGCUUAACACAUGCAAGUCGAACGAUGAAGGCUGGAGCUUGCUCUGGCUGGAUUAGUGGCGAACGGGUGAGUAACACGUGAGUAACCUGCCCCAGACUCUGGGAUAAGCGCUGGAAACGGCGUCUAAUACCGGAUACGAGCUUCCACCGCAUGGUGAGGAGCUGGAAAGAAUUUCGGUCUGGGAUGGACUCGCGGCCUAUCAGCUUGUUGGUGAGGUAAUGGCUCACCAAGGCGACGACGGGUAGCCGGCCUGAGAGGGUGACCGGCCACACUGGGACUGAGACACGGCCAGACUCCUACGGGAGGCAGCAGUGGGGAAUAUUGCACAAUGGGCGCAAGCCUGAUGCAGCAACGCCGCGUGAGGGACGAAGG